rnacentral:rRNA from 1 species
GUCCGGCAACGAGCGCAACCCUAUCCUUAGUUGCCAGCGGUUAAAGCCGGGAACUCUAAGGAGACUGCCCCGGAAAUCGGGGAGGAAGGUGGGGAUGACGUCAAGUCCUCAUGGCCUUUAUGUCCAGGGCUACACACGUGCUACAAUGGGCGGUACAAAGGGUUGCGAAGCCGCGAGGUGGAGCUAAUCCCAGAACGUCCUCAGUUCGGAUUGCAGUCUGCAACUCGACUGCAUGAAGGCGGAAUCGCUAGUAAUCCCGUAUCAGAAUGACGGGUGAAUACGUCCCGGGCCUUGUACACACCGCCCGUCACAUCAC